AGGCGAAACCGCGGAUGGCUCAUUAAAUCAGUUAUGGUUCCUUAGGCCGUUCCCACCUACUUGGAUAACCGUGGUAAUUCUAGAGCUAAUACAUGCAGCAGAGCUCCGACCUCCGGGGACGAGCGCUUUUAUUAGACAAGGCCAGUCGGACCGCGUCCGUUCUAGUGGUGACUCUGGAUAACUUCGGGCUGAUCGCACGGGCUCGUCCCGGCGACGAUCCUUUCAAGUGUCUGCCUUAUCAACUGUCGACGGUUGGCUAAAUGCCUACCGUGGUUGUAACGGGUAACGGGGAAUCAGGGUUCGAUUCCGGAGAGGGAGCCUGAGAGACGGCUACCAGUUCUAAGGAAGGCAGCAGGCGCGCAAAUUGCCCAUCGAAGCAAUUGGAGGCAGUGACGAAAAAUAACAAUACGGGACUCUUUUGAGACCCCGUAAUUGGAAUGAGAACAAAUCAAAACUAUUAACGAUUAACCAUCAGAGACCAAGCCUAGUGCCAGCUGUCGCGGUAACUCUAGCUCUGAUAGCGUAUAUUAAAGUUGUUGCGGUUAAAAAGCUCGUAGUUGGAUCUGUGUUCCGGCACCGGACUCCGCCUACCGGCGGUCAGUUCGGCCGCCGAACAGCCAGCCGGUUUCCCUGGAUGAUCUUCACCGGUUGUCCCCGGUGACCGGCACGUUUACUUUGAAAAAAUUAGAGUGCUCAAAGCAGGCUAGACGCCUGGACAAUGGUGCAUGGAAUAAUGGAAGAGGACCUCGGUCCUGUUUCGUUGGUCUUCUGGACUCGAGGUAAUGAUUAAGAGGGACAGACGGGGCCAUUAGUACUUUUGCGCUAGAGGUGAAAUUCUUGGACCGCAAAAAGACUAUCUAGAGCGAAGGCAUUUGGCAAGGAUGUUUCCGUUAAUCAAGAACGAAAGUUGGGGGUCCGAAGGCGAUCAGAUACCGCCCUAGUCUUAACUGUAAACGAUGCCAACCAGCGAUCCGCCUGAGUUCCUCAAAUGACUCGGCGGGCAGCUUCCGGGAAACCAAAGUUG
rnacentral:rRNA from 1 species